AUUGAUAAUAGCUACAGGACUCUACUUAGCUACGAGCCCAAUUCUGCAACAGUGACUGCUUUCAGGCCUGGCAGUGUGAUUACAGACUUUACUAUCAAAACAACAAAUGCUACCCUUAAUUUGGCAUCAGCAAACCAAGACCUUGCUAGUAGUCUCCGUUUACAGGGAUUCAAUGUGAGCGAUACUGCAUUCAUCCAGAGUGGUAGGGGCUUGUUAACUAUAUACAUACAACUUAUUACAAGUUAGUAUUAAUAAUGUAUGUGUGUAUGAUUAUGCAGAGCUCUUGAAAAAACAAACUUUAGAGAUGUACUUGGCUCUUUAUUUCAGUGAAAGAUGGACUAUAUGGAAGUAGUGGCAAUAUAUAUCCUGGGACAAAUCUCACACUGACCUGCAAUCCUCCAGUAAAUAAUAGCAUACAAUGGACCCUGGAUGGGAAACUCAUCGAAGACAAUUCAAAUAAUAUCCUUCAACUCAAUAAUGCCACUUCUAAUUACAGUGCACUGCCUUAAUCCUCUUGGGCAUGGAGUUCACCAGAGCUUCACAUGUUGCCAAUGGAGUCCUCUUCCACUCCUCCAUGAUGACAUCACAGAGCUGGUGGAUGUUAGAGACCUUGUGCUCCUCCACCUUCCGUUUGAGGAUGCCCCACAGAUGCUCAAUAGGGUUUAGUCCAUCACCUUCACCCUCAGCUUCUUUAGCAAGGCAGUGGUCAUCUUGGAGGUGUGUUUGGAGUCGUUAUCAUGCUGGAAUACUGCCCUGCAGCCCGGUCUCCAAAGGGAGGGUUGAUCAUGGUCUGCUUCAGUAAGUCACAGUACAUGUUGGCAUUCGUGGUUCCCUCAAUGAACUGUAGCUCCCCAGUGCCGGCAGCACUCAUGCAGCCCCAGACCUACAGUCCCACCACCAUGCUUGACUGUAGGCACACUUGUCGUUGUACUCCUCACCUGGUUGCUGCCACAUAC
ensembl:lncRNA